CAGAGAGGCGCUCGGGCGGCCCGAUCUGGCCAGACCACCCGGUCGGCCCCGCCCCCAUCCCGGCCGCGAAUCGGCCGCCCCCGCCCCCUCGGCCCCGCCCCCACACCACAGCCCGAGCUCGCUCCUGCGCUUGCGCUCUCCCGGACCCGAGUGAAUAGUCCUCGCGCCGGUGGGAUACGGCGGUGAGUGCGUUUCCCCUCGCCUCCAGCCUCCAGGAGGUUCCCGGCGCCUCAGGCAGCUGCAGCUCCGAAGCGGCUGCCACCGCACCUGGGCAGUCUGGACCCUCGUGCCCUGUUCCCGGGGCCUCGCGCGGUGGGAGCCCCGGGACACCCCUGCGGGCCGGGUGGAAGAGGAGAAAGAAGAAUAAGAGGAAGACGUGGACCAGGAUCCCCAACCUCCCCACAACACCUGGCCUCUCCGCUUCCACUUCUUUCACACAAGGAGAGAGGAGCCAGCGAGAGCCAUGGGGGGCUGCGAAGUCCGAGAAUUUCUUUGGCAAUUUGGAUUCUUUUUGCCUCUGAGGACAGCUUGGCCGGGCUACUGUAGUCAUGUCUCCAACAACCAAGGUAACAUGGGUCUACCUAGUGGGAUGGCAGCUCCACAGCAGAUUCACAGAGAGAAAGGAAACCAGGUCAGUAAGUAUAUGCUUAUAUCAUGUCAUCAACAAGUGCUAAACCCAGACUCUUACUGGCUGUGUUUUGGAACUUGAAAGUUAUCCCAGCCCAACUCUAUCAUGGUUGUAAAAGAGAAAACAGGUUUGCUGACAAAGUACAUUUUACUUCUUAAAGGACAGCUAAUUGUCAUUUAUUCAUGAAAACUAUUUAGUAGUUUCACUUAAGUUAUGAGAUCUCUUUUCUAAAAUUUAAUGGAGAUAGAAAAAGAUUCUUGAUUUUGUAUUUGGCAGACUUACAUAAAAGGGAGUAAACCUCCAAAUGGUACAGAAAAAAGGAGUAAAAUUGGGUAUAAUUCUUAUUUUAUAGUUAAAGAAAUUAGAGCAUAGAAUCAGCAAAUCACAGAACCAGAAAAGUGAAGAUUGAAAUUCU
rnacentral:lncRNA from 1 species